UCCACACUCAGACUGAUGAGAGAGCAGCUCCAUGUGCACAUCAGAGCUCAUCCGACACAGAGAUGAAGAAGAUGAAUGAGCUGGAACCUUCUCAGAGUCUGGAGGCGGACAGAUCUGAGGAUGUUUUUGGCAACUUCACAUGAGAUUCUUCAAUCAGAUGAGAUAGUGCUGGCCUAGGACCUGAAGUGUGAGUUUCAUCUUUCUUCACCCAUGUAAGAGCAUCUCACACCCCACACCGAGAUGACUGAUGCCGCUUUAGUGCGACAGGACUUUCAUCAUCGCUGUCUUCUGCUCCUCAAACUGACAAGAGCUGGAGUCCACCGCAGUGCAGAUGUGUUUGUUUAUUCGUCAGCUGUUCACUAGAGGAUGACCGUAUAGACAGAUUACUCGCCGAUCAGACCCCAGAGUUCACAACCUAAUCACCCUCAGGUUAUCCAAGAUCAAGAUGAAUUUGUUUCUUCAUCCGAUUUGGAGAAAUGUAGCAUUACAUCACUCGUUCAACAAUAGAUGCUCUGCAGUGAAUGGGUGCCGUCAGAAUGAGAGUCCAAACAGCUGAUAAAAACAUCACAAGUGAUCCACACCUGUCCAUCAAUUAUCAUCUUGUGCAGUGAAAAGCAGCGUGUACAUAAGAAACAAAUCCAUCAAGGAGCUUUCAUUUUAAUUUGUUGUAAACUCAUCUACAUAUAUGCGCUGAACUAUUGUUGAUCUAUAUGGCAAAAGCAGCAAGAAUUUGAAAAGGAAUCACACAAGUGUUUCUUUUCUGAUUCCAUAUUAGACAUGUAAUAAAUGUUUCCUCCAUCUUA